UACGUAGGGCGCAAGCGUUGUCCGGAAUUAUUGGGCGUAAAGAGCUCGUAGGUGGCUUGUCGCGUCGGUUGUGAAAGCCCACAGCUUAACUGUGGGUCUGCAUUCGAUACGGGCAGACUAGAGGUAUGCAGGGGAGAACGGAAUUCCUGGUGUAGCGGUGAAAUGCGCAGAUAUCAGGAGGAACACCGGUGGCGAAGGCGGUUCUCUGGGCAUGAUCUGACGCUGAGGAGCGAAAGUGUGGGGAGCGAACAGG
rnacentral:rRNA from 1 species